UUGAAUUCUGGAUGACAGAGACUGCCAAAUUAAAUUCGUGUGAUUAUUAAUCAAUAAGUAAGUGACUCCAAAAAGUGCUUAUCAAGUGUUUAGAGUUAUCAUUCUACAUGGGAGGAAGAUAGGAAAGUAAUGUAAUAUCUUCUCAUAAGCUGUUGAUAACUCAGAAGGUGGAAUAUGAUUGUAUUUCUGUUAGUCAGACCCUUAUCUGUGGAUGAACCACAGUUGCCUAGUUAACUAUGGACUCAAAUAGUCACCCACAGUUAUUGAGUACUGUCUCUUUAAUAACGAAAGAGAAGAAUGACUAAGGUACAGUUACUCGAUGUGUAUAAAGAGAUAUCGUCACUAUUACUGUCAUCAAGAUGGCCCCCACUUCAAUUUUUGUCUGAUUUCUCAUACUCCAAGUCUACAGAUAAUUAAAGCUGAGGUUCUCUCUCGUUCUCUCUCUCUCUCUCUCUCUCUCUCUCUCUCUCUCUCUCUCUCUCUCUCUCUCUCUUUCUCUUUUAGUUUUUUAAGACUGAACUUGCUCUGUAGACCAUACUGGCCUUGAACUCAGAGAUCUGCCUGCCUUUGCUUUCCAAAUAUUGAUAUUAAAAUUGUGCCUCAGAACUGCCCAGCUCUAUAGCUGAAGUUUUCAGCCAGUGUGUGUAAACCAUUGCUACACUACUUUGAUGCUAUAAUCUGAAGAAACUUUGGGGUAUCACUUUGUGUUUAUGUGUACAUGAGUGUACGUAAAAGCUCUCUGAAAGGAGAAUUAUACGAAUUCUAGGUUUGGAGAUACAAAAUUAAAAGAAUAAACCCCAAAAGGCCACAGAUACAAAAUUAAAAGAAUAAACCCCAAAAGGUCACAGACCGAGGGCUAAGCCCUACAGCCAGGACUAGCAGGCCAUAGAGAUAAAGGAGCACAGGAAACACUGUCUAGGCAGGACUGGCAAGCCAUAAAGAUAAGGAAAGGAAUGCAGAACAGACCAGGAGUACCGGAUCUGACUCACAGGCCACCUGGCAGGAAGAGAUAAGCCCCCAGCCCCCGACAUCCAGGACGCCCCAAACCUGCCAAUGUGUGUAGCUAUACCUUAUUACCUCAUCAUGUGAAAUAGCCAAUCAUAUGUGAACAUGUCUAUGUGCCUCGUUUGAAUCCACCAAUCCCUGUAACUAUGCAUCUGCUUCUGUACGCCCGCUUCUGCUUCCCCAAUCCCUAUAAAAGCCCCAUGCUGGAGCUGCUGGGCGCGCAAGUCCUCCGAAGAGACUGUGUGCCUGCAGGUACCUGUGUUUUCCAAUAAACCCUCUUGCUGAUUGCAUCCGAGUGGACUCGGCUCGGUCAUUGGGCGCUUGGGACUCCUCCUGAGGGAAAGGUCCUCUUUGGGGGUCUUUCAUUAUGGGGGCUCGCCCAGGGUUUGGAGACCCUCCGCCCAGAGAUCACCGACCACCCACUGGGAGGAAAGACAGAAUCCUGCUAGAGGCCAGAAAGAAUGUUCCAGACAUGGAUGGAAGGCUCCUGACUGUUGACUUCAAUACGCCUGAAGGUAGGGAGUGCUCCAGGUCUGCCCCCAGGCUCCAAGGGUGGGUCUCCUAGGGGCUGGAAAAUGCCCCACCAAUCUGGCUAAGAUAAGGAAAGGGUAUGAAGAGAAAGUUACAGAAAUUUGAAGGGUUAAGCUAAGUUGCUGAGAGUUAGUAUAAGUUACAGAGAAAGUAACGUUAAACAAAGAGAAAGAGAAAAGAAGGUAAAAAGAGCAGAAAGCUAGGGAAGAAAAGAGACAAAAAGAAGAGGAAGCUAGAGAGCUAAAGAGAGAUAAAAGACAAGAGAGGAACAUAUACUGGCCACAGUAGUUAGGGAACCUAGGAAGACAGUACCUGGCAACAGAAGAGAAUUCCUGGCUAAAGAUCAGUGUGCCUAAUGCAAAGAAAAAAAAAGACACUGGGUCAGGGACUGCCCCAGAAAGAACAAGAGGGGACACUGGAGAGCCUCUCGGUCCUGGAGUGCUGGCUAUGUGCAGAGAUAGGAGGGAAGCCUACCCAGUUGUUUUAUGGAUACAGGGACCCAAUGCUCUGUGCUCCUAUGCUCCAGUGGGCCAGUAUCCAAAGACCUUGGGUACAGGGGCCUACUGGCAACAAACAAUACUUAUGGACUGCCCGAAGAACAGUGGACCUUGGCGUGGGCCGGGUAACCCACUAGUUCAUAGUCAUCUCUGACUGCCCCCAUCCCUUGCUCAUGAGAAAAUUGCUCCCCAAAAUGGCUUGCGUGGGCUGAAAUGGCUGGGUGAGGCCAUGUGUAUGCAUAUCUACAGACUGUGUAUGCGGAGCUUAAGACCUGUCUCAGUGCACCAGUACCUGAUGCUGGGAGAUGAAUGGCUUAGCGCUGUUCUACUUGGAACAUAUCACUCCUACCAGCUGGGCACUAACAAUUAUCACCCAAUCCAGGACUUAAACUGUGAUAGAGUGGCUGAUGUCUUGCCUUUGAAUAGUGUCCCAAAAGAUGGGACCACUGGUCAGCUGCCAUGACUAGAUUCUCUACCGGUUGGGGACAAUCUGGUCACCUUGCUGCCCAAUCCGGAUCUGGAGUCACUGCAACACGAGUGUCAAGCACUGGCAGAAGCCCAUGGGUGGAGGAAAGACCUCUGCGACUGGCAGAUUGACCCCUGCUGAAAGCCGAGGCUACCUUGUCCACAGACGGGAACAGUUCUCUUCAUGAAGGUCAGAGAUAAGUGGGUGCUGCCAUGGUGGACAACACAAAGUCAUCUAGGAUGGCUGAACCUCAACCCCCCAGUACAUCAGUGCCGCAGAUGCCUUUGCCAUCUCUUGGAUACCCUGGUGAAGCCAACAACUGUGAGUACUAUUCAUUGCUCAGGAUAUCAGGAGGGAAGAGAUUCAGUGGCAUUGGGCAGUAACAAAGCAGAUAAAGUGGCUCGGGAAAUGGCUAUGCAGGAGCCUAUCCUGGUUGAAGGACUGCAAGAGACAGCCACUGAGAACUAGGAUCGGACUAAGGGAUGGCCUCACUUAGAAUGUAAAACAGAAGAAAA